rnacentral:rRNA from 1 species
AUUGAACGCUGGCGGCGUGCUUAACACAUGCAAGUCGAUCGGUAACAGGUGUAGCAAUACAUGCUGACGAGAGGCGGACGGGUGAGUAAUGCUUGGGAAUCUGCCUAUUAGUGGGGGACAACCCGGGGAAACUCGGGCUAAUACCGCAUACGCUCUACGGAGGAAAGCCGGGGACCGCAAGGCCUGGCGCUAAUAGAUGAGCCCAAGUCGGAUUAGCUAGUUGGUAGGGUAACGGCCUACCAAGGCGACAAUCCGUAGCUGGUCUGAGAGGACGACCAGCCACACCGGAACUGAGACACGGUCCGGACUCCUACGGGAGGCAGCAGUGGGGAAUAUUGGACAAUGGGGCAACCCUGAUCCAGCGACGCCGCGUGGGUGAAGAAGGCCUGCGGGUUGUAAAGCCCUUUCGGUGAGGAAGAAAAGUCUCGACCUAAUACGUCGGGACCUUGACGUAACCCACUAAAGAAG